rnacentral:rRNA from 1 species
AGAGUUUNGNNNCCCNGUCAGAACGAACGCUGGCGGCAUGCCUAACACAUGCAAGUCGAACGAACCCUUCGGGGUUAGUGGCGCACGGGUGCGUAACGCGUGGGAACCUGCCUUUAGGUUCGGAAUAACUCAGAGAAAUUUGAGCUAAUACCGGAUGAUGUCUUCGGACCAAAGAUUUAUCGCCUUUAGAUGGGCCCGCGUUAGAUUAGAUAGUUGGUGGGGUAAUGGCCUACCAAGUCGACGAUCUAUAGCUGGUCUGAGAGGAUGAUCAGCCACACUGGGACUGAGACACGGCCCAGACUCCUACGGGAGGCAGCAGUGGGGAAUAUUGGACAAUGGGCGAAAGCCUGAUCCAGCAAUGCCGCGUGAGUGAUGAAGGCCUUAGGGUUGUAAAGCUCUUUUACCAGGGAUGAUAAUGACANACCUGGAGANAAGUNCCGCACCCCG